GAAAUUAUGUUUUAUUUUUUAUGUACCGGUAUUUUAAUUAUGCUAAAUUUUUAAAAAUGUAAAUUAAGAUAUAUAGAUUUCGCAUAAUACUGUCUUUUAAACGGAGUGAUUAGAAUAUUUUGUCAAACAAUAUUGUGCAUAAUUUUGCACCUAUUUAUUGCUUGCUGGUAAUAUUACUGACCAUUCAUUGAAUACAUGAUUACAUGUACAAUAUUAUUAUGGGUAAAUAGACAGCAGUUAAUCACUACUAGUGGCACUAGAAAAUAUUUAAAUAGCAUAAUGGAAUCUAAUGAUGUUAAAACUUUUCAUCAGUGUAUAGUAUGUAAUGAGAUGUUCCAGUAUUACGAUGACUUAGAAAUGCACAAUAAGAUACAUGUAAAACAAGAGGAUACUAAAGAAGACUGUGAUGUUGUAAAUUUUGAAGCAGGAAAAAAUGAGGUCAACACAUUUCAUGAGUGUAAAUUGUGUCAUGAAACAUUCAAAUGCUAUAUUGAAUUAGAGAAACACUGUACGAUGCAUGUUAAAGAUAAGGGGUUCAUUCAAAAUAUUUCAGUUUUUGAAGCAAAUAAAUUAAGCGAGAAAUGUAGACACCAGAUAAAUAAGAAUGUUAAUUUUAAAUGUGACUUUUGUGUUAAGACAUUUGUACACAAAGUUAAUCUAGAGAGGCACAUGGAAAUUCAUAAUGGUGAAAAAACUUACAAAUGUAAUAUUUGUGGUAGUGCAUUUAUACACAAAAGUAAACACGAAAGGCACAUGAGAAUUCAUACUGGAGAAAGGCCGUUUAUAUGUGAUCUUUGUAGUAAAGCAUUUAUAAAUAAAUGGAAGCUCCAAGUCCAUAUUAGGACACACACUGGAGGAAAACCAUAUAAAUGUGAUAUUUGUGAUAAAUCGUUUACCCAGCGCGGCGAUCUACAGAAACACAUCCGAACGCAUACCGACAAAAAGCCUAAAAAAUGUGAAGUUUGUGGUAUGGCAUUUAUUGACCAUAGUCAACUAAGCAAACACAGGAGUACCCAUACCGGAAGUACCUUUGAUUGUGAUGUUUGUGGUAAAUCGUUCUAUCAAAAUUGUGAUCUACAAAGACAGUAAACUCAGUGCACACAAGAGAACUCAUACUGUGUAGUUUCGCAUUUAGUGAAAAGGGUAGUCUACUCAGACACAUCAGAAGUCAACACGCCGAAAAACUUUAUAAGUGUGAUUUUUGUAUUAAGACAUUUAAUGAUGAAGAAAAGCUGCAGAGACACCAAAGAACUCAUACGGGUAAAAAACCAUUUGGAUGUAAUAUUUGCGAUAAAUCAUUUGACAACAGACUUCGUUUAAAUGCUCAUAUGGUAAUUCAUACUAAAGAAAAACCAUUCGAAUGUGAAGUCUGCGGAAAACUAUUCACCAUCAAGCAAACACUAAAAUCACACAUGCGACUACAUUCUGGAAUUAAACCUUUUAAAUGUGA